GGCUCUGUGGCGCAAUGGAUAGCGCAUUGGACUUCUAGAUUGGAUGUGGCCAUUCAAAGGUUGUGGGUUCGAGUCCCACCAGAGUCG
rnacentral:tRNA from 1 species